AUAAUGCUCACUUUGAUGGGCCGAUUUGGCGCUGCAGCUAGUUUAACCAAAGAAGCCGUCUUUUUUCUUCCCUUCGUCAGAACAUCCGUCUCUUCCCGUGGUAGCUGUGCGGAGCGGCGAUUCUCCAUGGAGGGCCUUGAGUUUUUCUUUGAGGAAGCAGAAUCUGGAUUGUUCCUGGGGUAGAUGCGGGUGAUAUUUUGGGUGGCGGAAUCGAUGUUGUGGAGUCUGUGGUUGCUUCUAUCCAUGAAGCUCGCGGGCGCUCCGCUCAUGUGAUCUCUUCUGAAUCCAUGGAUGGCAGUGACGACGAAGAGCAGUCCCGAGAUGUGGAGGCGAAUGUUGGCUUAUACUGCAACAGCGAAAGUGAGGUCGUUGGUGACUCAAACGACAUGGCUCCUGAGUGUGCGAUGGCUGCAUCUGUGAGAGAAUAUGGAGAUGCAGAGGGUGUCAUCGUCAACAAUUCAAAGGGCUCCUGCUGGAGUCGACGGUAACAAACACAUGGUCGUUUUGUCAUUACUUUUCUUUUGUACCAGUUAUUCUAGCUUCCAGCACUUCCUGUAGCAAAAACACACCCCAUGGGAGAGUUCGCCCCUCCGUUAGAAAAAAGAGAGUUCGCCCAUGGAGAAACGAAAAAAUAUUCCCCUCUUAUAGUAUUGAUGCUAGCUUGAAACCACAAUUUUUAAACCACAAUUAAUGCAUGAUUUUGUAUGAAUGGUCAGUACUAAUUUUUUAAGAAUUGCUCUUCUUAUCUCGGUCUGGAUUGCUAGAAAAUACAGUUAACACCAUUUUUGGAAGAUUGUAGUAUUAGGAUUAACAAGGCAGAAGAGAGGGACGCCAACCCAAGCAGAGUCCUAAGCCUAAGCAAGGUUUACAGCUUAGUGGGCGGUUUUUUUGGAUCGGUGAAGGAGGUGCCAUUCACAAAGAGAUCUCUGAAGACUCUGUGGAAAACUUAACAGAGAGCAAUCAGACAAUGAUGCCACAAAGACAAUAGAGGUGUUCAACACAAUGCGGGCUGGAGAUAUGUGCCACCAGGAUCGCGGAUGCACCUGUUUGUUAGGCAAUAUGAGAAGAUGCAAUUUGACAGAGAUUCUGAGGAGAGUUAUCAGGAGAAAAGAACCAAACUGGGUGGUGUUGUCCUAGCUCAGAACCUACCUAUCGAGAUUCAUGCAUCCACACAAGCGCUAUGCUUGAAAAUUUUGGCGAGAUGCUAUAUGAGGGUGGGUCAUGUGUUCUGAUUGAAAUUGUGCCUCGCCGUGAAUACAUAGCAAGGCAUGUAAAGAAAGAUUCUCGAGACAAAUGGUGUAAAAAUGAAUUCCUCGUCCAGUUCAAUGAGCUUGCUGAUGAAUUCAAGUGUGAAUGUGGAAUGUUUGAGCAUUUCGGCAUGGUGUGCAGCCAUGCACUAAAGGAGGUUCCAGUCAAACACGUGCUGAAGCGUUGGACAAGGGAUGCAAUGAAUAUACCGCCUCCAGAGCUUCUCCUUUACCAGAAAGACCAAGGCCCUCUCAAGUACUCCUCACGGUGACAUAACAAUCUGCAUCUGCUUUGCCCUGAAAUUGUUAGACUUGGUGACAACAAUGUGGAUGCAUAUACUCUUGCCAUGGAGCAGCUAAGAAAUGUGAAAGCAUUGCGGAGCCGGUGGCUAUUGUACGUGAUGGCAUGGGGUUAUCCGACAGAGAGUUGUCGGGUGAUUCUGCAGGUUCAUCUAUAGCGCACAAGCAACAUUUUGGUCCAACAAAUCAGGCACAGAGUGUCUCGCAAUGUUCAGAUAGCUUUGGGGCACCAUCAAAGAAGAGACCAGCGGGGCGACCUACGACAAGCCACGAGAAAGCGCCAUAUGAACAGCCAGCUAAAAGGAGCCGGUUAUGUUUGAUUUGCCGUGGGCAAGGGCACAAGAGCACUAUGUGUCCGCAGCGCGGCAAUCUUCCCAAGGCGCCGAGGAAGUCGCCUCGCUGCUCAAGGUGUAGUCUGACAGGCCACAAAAGGAACACAUACACCAACGCGCCCAUUGCAGAUUUCUACGACUGAUUUUGUUUUGUUUUUAUGGUUGAAGUAUAACAGUUCAUGUAGCUGUGUUUAUGUUGGCUAUCAGACUGCUAGUGACUCUGCCAUAUAUUAGUGAAUCUCUGUAUCUGUAGUUUCGUUGUUGUGGAUAAUUAGUUGGAGACUCUGUGUUUUCAGUUUGAAA